UACGUAGGGGACGAGCGUUGUCCGAAUUUACUGGGCGUAAAGCGCGCGUAGGCGGGCUCUUAAGUUGGUGGUGAAAUCCCGAGGCUCAACCUCGGAACUGCCUCCAAAACUGGGAGUCUUGAGGUUUGGAGAGGGAAGUGGAAUUCCUGGUGUAGCGGUGAAAUGCGUAGAUAUCAGGAGGAACACCCGUGGCGAAGGCGGCUUCCUGGCCAUAUCCUGACGCUGAGGUGCGAAAGCUAGGGGAGCGAACGGGAGUAGAUACCCCGGUAGUCCUAGCCGUAAACGAUGGAUACUAGGUGUUAGAGGUAUCGACCCCUCUAGUGCCGAAGCUAACGCAUUAAGUAUCCCGCCUGGGGAGUACGGCCGCAAGGCUGAA
rnacentral:rRNA from 1 species